rnacentral:lncRNA from 1 species
AGAAGGAAAGCUGGGACGGGCCGGGACCACAGGAGCCCCAGCCCCACACAGCAACCACCCGGGCGAGAAAGAAAGAAAGAGCCAGGGAGGCGGGCGAAGCGCGGGGAGAGAAGCAGAGAAGAAAUAUUCACCUUCCCGCCUCAUGCCCACUUUGAGGCACUUCUUGAGGCGGCAGUAUUGGCACUGGUUGCGGUGGUGCUGGUCGAUGGGACAGUUCCUGUUGGCACGGCAUGUCAGGUAGAUGAAACUCAAGAGAAAAGGUGUGGAUAAAUGAAACUAGCCCAUGAUGAACCUGUUUUCUCCGUGACCACAAUAUUAACCAGGAUGAAUGGCGGUGGCAGUGGGCCUGCAUCACAGGUUGCAGCAGAUGUUCUCAAUAUUUCUAUUAAAAUUUCCUUAUUUCCAUAUGCAAGAGGAGCCCCAGAGCUGCAUCCUUAUGGUAGCUACCAUGCCGUGAUGUAAGCUGCCAUUCACUGGGGAGCUUUGGCAAUAGAAUUGGCUAGAUCAGGAAGCCUAUGUCAACUAUGGAACAACAACUUGCAGCUCAUCUCUAUUGAUGAUACACUGCCUCUAGGACUGGGACAGAUAGCCACUGAGUACCUGCUUCAAAUCACCCUGCACGUUUUCUCUUUGGAAAGAUAAGCACUGGAGAACCAUCUCGUUACCUUCAGCAGAAAUGGAAACAAAUCAAGACAUUAAGAAUGCCGCAGUGGACAGCAGUUAUGCAAGGUUCAGCAGAGGAAGUUUUCAAGAUGGUGUGCCUCACUAGCCAGAAAUCAGAAAAGAUCGAAGCUAGCCUUUUCAUCUCAGCUGCUCCUUAAAUCAGUGCAACCCCUCCAAAUUAAUGUGAAUUGAAACUUGCAUUGCUUUUCAACUUAAUUGAAUACUUACUAUAUGUGAACCACUGCACAAAAUAGGGGAAGAAGAUGUGGGAGACAAAGAUGUGGAGCCUGUCUUCAAUAAAUUUACAGUUAGUUUCAGGGUACAUUGUUUUUCUUCUGCUGUUAAUUAGGUGUAUCCCCAAGACAAUAAAUACAUGAAUGGAAAAGUAUAUUCUGUGUUUUAAGUCUCUUUAAUAAAAAACAAAACAAAAUCCAAAAAAACUCCUAACAUGGCAACUCAGGACAUUUUAAUCCUUUUUUUUGUUGUUGGGCUUCUGAUAGGAUCCAUUUUAUUGAUUCCAUAAAUAUUUAGUAGACUUUAGACAUAUUAAUACAUUGUAGUUUGAGUUAAUUUGCAUUAAAUUCUGUUUUUUUCCCCUUAGGUAUAGAUUGUCUGUUGGAAAAAUAUAUUGCUUGUGGAUUUCUUGGGGAGUGGGAAGGUGAAUUAUACCUGUUGUCUCUACAGUCCACUACCUUCCACACCCUAGGGCAGUGGUCCCCAACCUUCUUGGCACCAGGGAUCAGUUUCCUGGAAGACAAUUUUUCUGUGGAUGGUGUGGGGAUGGUUUUGGGAUGGAACUGUUCCACCUCAGAUCAUCAGGCAUUAGUUAGGCUCUCAUAACGAGUGCGCAGCCUAGAUCCCUCACAUGCACAGUUCACAGUAGGGUUUGCGCUGCUAUGAGAAUCUAAGGCUGCCACUGAUCUGACAGGAGGCAGAACUCAGGUGGCAAUGCUUACUGGCCCACUGCUCACCUCUUGCUGUGCGGCCUGGUUCCUAAUAGGCCAUGGACCCCCACAGACGGGUACUAGUCUGCAGCCUGUGGACCCCAGCCCUAGGGGCCUGCCAUUCUGAGUGAGUUAUUAGCAUGAAGAAGAGGAAGAUCUGGAUCAAACGUGGGUGAUGGUACUCAGAGACCCAAGAUAGGAUAGGGAUGGAACAAAAUCCAUCUGGGCAACGGCUCUAUGAAAAUUUGGCUAAGUAAUUAUUUCAGUAUUCAUUGUAUUCAUUGUCCUUCGUGUUCCAUAAGUUAAAUGACUGUCUAAUUUUUCCAAAAAUUUAUUUCUGACUUGAGAAUAAGUGUGUCAUGAUUUUCCCAGUGUAAAGACACUGAUAUAACUGUAGAUACCAGACAUUUUAUGUAGUGUCUAUGACACAUUUUAGUAUGUAUGAGCCAACAAUAGACAUGUCUUUGUCUUGAGGAGUGUCCAUCUGAAUUGAAAAUGUGUCAGCUUUUUUUUAACAUCAUCAACAGACUUCUUAAUUAAGCUGCCAAUACAUACUGCCAAUAGCACUGUGUGCUGUCUGAGAAAUGCAUUGUGUAAGUGCUAUUUCCAUCUUAUUAAAUAAACAAUGUUGCUCUGUAUAAACUGGAUUUAAAGUGUUCUUUGAAUGAGGCAUUAUAUUGCUCCAUAAAUAAUGUGAUGUGAAUUCUCAUAUGAUCCCUUUUAACUUAAUUUCUAAAAAAAUAUUAUUUGCUCCUCAGUAAGGAAUAGCUCUAAUUGGACUGGUAACUUUAGUGAUAUGAUUUGUCUGUAACAGGCUGAAUCGCCCCACUCCCAAACUCCUGGUCGUGAUACUGGAUAUUUGUUAUGCCACUUUUAGUUUGCAUGAGGUAUCUUCCAGGAAGUAUUAGUUAUUAACUUGUGUUCUACUAAACUGUAGAUAUUUAUUUCCUGUUCUGGAAGAUUUCUUGGAGUGUCCAUCUGUGCAUUCCUGGUGCCUAGUGUAGUCUUGCUAAUGGAAUAGCACCUUUAUUGGUGCUACUUAGGGGUUGGUAGCUUACAAUCAAUCUACUUGGAACGUAUCCAAAUAAACUGGAUAUUUUUAUACAGUC